rnacentral:rRNA from 1 species
GACGAACGCUGGCGGCGUGCUUAACACAUGCAAGUCGAACGGUGAAGCUCCAGCUUGCUGGAGUGGAUCAGUGGCGAACGGGUGAGUAACACGUGAGCAACCUGCCCCAGACUCUGGAAUAAGCGCUGGAAACGGCGUCUAAUACUGGUUACGAGAUCAAGCCGCAUGGUUAUGGUCUGGAAAGUUUUUCGGUUUGGGAUGGGCUCGCGGCCUAUCAGCUUGUUGGUGAGGUAAUGGCUCACCAAGGCGACGACGGGUAGCCGGCCUGAGAGGGCGACCGGCCACACUGGGACUGAGACACGGCCCAGACUCCUACGGGAGGCAGCAGUGGGGAAUAUUGCACAAUGGGCGAAAGCCUGAUGCAGCGACGCCGCGUGAGGGAUGACGGCCUUCGGGUUGUAAACCUCUUUCAGCAGGGAAGAAGCGAAAGUGACGGUACCUGCAGAAGAAGCACCGGCUAACUACGUGCCAGCCGCCGCCGUAACAC